CAGUCGAACGGAGAUUGUAGCAAUACGGUCUCAGUGGCGAACGGGUGAGUAACGCGUUGGUGACCUGCCCCGAAGUGUGGAAUAACAGAUCGAAAGAGCUGCUAAUACCGCAUAAUAUCCAGAGGACUAGAUGCCUUUGGAUUAAAGGAUUUAUUCGCUUCGGGAGGGGCCUGCGUCCCAUCAGCUAGUUGGUAAGGUAAAGGCUUACCAAGGCUAUGACGGGUAGGGGACCUGAGAGGGUGGCCCCCCACAAUGGAACUGAAACACGGUCCAUACACCUACGGGUGGCAGCAGUAGGGAAUAUUAGUAAUGGGCGAAAGCCUGAACUAGCAACGCCGCGUGUGCGAAGAAGGCCUUCGGGUUGUAAAGCACUUUUUGAGAGGAUGAGGAAGGACGGUACUCUCAGAAUAAGUCUCGGCUAACUACGUGCCAGCAGCCGCGGUAACACGUAGGAGGCGAACGUUAUCCGGAUUUACUGGGCGUAAAGCGCGUGUAGGUGGUUUGGUGAGUAGGGCGUGAAAGCUCCUGGCUCAACUGGGAGAGGCCGUUCUAAACUGCCGAACUAGAGGAUGGUAGAGGGAGGUGGAAUUCCGGGUGUAGCGGUGGAAUGCGCAGAUAUCCGGAGGAACACCAGUGGCGAAAGUGGCCUCCUGGACCACUCCUG
rnacentral:rRNA from 1 species